AUAGUACUCCCUCCGUCCGGAAAUACUUGUUCUCAAAAUGGAUAAAAUGAAUGUAUCUAUAACUAAAAUAAGUCUAGAUAUAAUCAUUUCUAGGACAAGUAUUUCCGGACGGAGGAAGUAUAUG
rnacentral:pre_miRNA from 1 species